AUACAUGCAGUAGAACGCUGAAGAGAGGAGCUUGCUCUUCUUGGAUGAGUUGCGAACGGGUGAGUAACGCGUAGGUAACCUGCCUUGUAGCGGGGGAUAACUAUUGGAAACGAUAGCUAAUACCGCAUAACAAUGGAUGACACAUGUCAUUUAUUUGAAAGGGGCAAUUGCUCCACUACAAGAUGGACCUGCGUUGUAUUAGCUAGUAGGUGAGGUAAUGGCUCACCUAGGCGACGAUACAUAGCCGACCUGAGAGGGUGAUCGGCCACACUGGGACUGAGACACGGCCCAGACUCCUACGGGAGGCAGCAGUAGGGAAUCUUCGGCAAUGGGGGCAACCCUGACCGAGCAACGCCGCGUGAGUGAAGAAGGUUUUCGGAUCGUAAAGCUCUGUUGUAAGUCAAGAACGGGUGUGAGAGUGGAAAGUUCACACUGUGACGGUAGCUUACCAGAAAGGGACGGCUAACUACGUGCCAGCAGCCGCGGUAAUACGUAGGUCCCGAGCGUUGUCCGGAUUUAUUGGGCGUAAAGCGAGCGCAGGCGGUUUGAUAAGUCUGAAGUUAAAGGCUGUGGCUCAACCAUAGUUCGCUUUGGAAACUGUCAAACUUGAGUGCAGAAGGGGAGAGUGGAAUUCCAUGUGUAGCGGUGAAAUGCGUAGAUAUAUGGAGGAACACCGGUGGCGAAAGCGGCUCUCUGGUCUGUAACUGACGCUGAGGCUCGAAAGCGUGGGGAGCGAACAGGAUUAGAUACCCUGGUAGUCCACGCCGUAAACGAUGAGUGCUAGGUGUUGGAUCCUUUCCGGGAUUCAGUGCCGCAGCUAACGCAUUAAGCACUCCGCCUGGGGAGUACGACCGCAAGGUUGAAACUCAAAGGAAUUGACGGGGGCCCGCACAAGCGGUGGAGCAUGUGGUUUAAUUCGAAGCAACGCGAAGAACCUUACCAGGUCUUGACAUCCCGAUGCUAUUUCUAGAGAUAGAAAGUUACUUCGGUACAUCGGUGACAGGUGGUGCAUGGUUGUCGUCAGCUCGUGUCGUGAGAUGUUGGGUUAAGUCCCGCAACGAGCGCAACCCCUAUUGUUAGUUGCCAUCAUUCAGUUGGGCACUCUAGCGAGACUGCCGGUAAUAAACCGGAGGAAGGUGGGGAUGACGUCAAAUCAUCAUGCCCCUUAUGACCUGGGCUACACACGUGCUACAAUGGUUGGUACAACGAGUUGCGAGUCGGUGACGGCGAGCUAAUCUCUUAAAGCCAAUCUCAGUUCGGAUUGUAGGCUGCAACUCGCCUACAUGAAGUCGGAAUCGCUAGUAAUCGCGGAUCAGCACGCCGCGGUGAAUACGUUCCCGGGCCUUGUACACACCGCCCGUCACACCACGAGAGUUUGUAACACCCGAAGUCGGUGAGGUAACCUUUUGGAGCCAGCCGCCU
rnacentral:rRNA from 1 species